ACACGGCCCGGACUCCUACGGGAGGCAGCAGUAGGGAAUUUUCGACAAUGGGCGCAAGCCUGAUCCAGCCAUGCCGCGUGUGUGAAGAAGGCCCUAGGGUUGUAAAGCACUUUCAGCAGGGAGGAAAAGCGUAGCGUUAAUAUCGCUACGUGCUGACGUUACCUGCAGAAGAAGCACCGGCUAACUCCGUGCCAGCAGCCGCGGUAAUACGGAGGGUGCGAGCGUUAAUCGGAAUUACUGGGCGUAAAGCGCGCGUAGGCGGUUUGUUUAGUGGGAUGUGAAAGCCCCGGGCUUAACCUGGAACUGCAUUCCAAACUGACAAGCUAGAGUACAAGAGAGGGGGGUAGAAUUUCCGGUGUAGCGGUGAAAUGCGUAGAGAUCGGAAGGAAUAUCAGUGGCGAAGGCGGCCCCCUGGCUUGAUACUGACGCUCAGGUGCGAAAGCGUGGGGAGCGAACAGGAUUAGAUACCCUGGUAGUCCACGCUGUAAACGAUGUCGACUAGCCGUUGGGGAGCUUGACUUCUUAGUGGCGCAGUUAACGCGAUAAGUCGACCGCCUGGGGAGUACGGCCGCAAGGUUAAAACUCAAAUGAAUUGACGGGGGCCCGCACAAGCGGUGGAGCAUGUGGUUUAAUUCGAUGCAACGCGAAGAACCUUACCAGGUCUUGACAUCCUGCGAACUUUCUAGAGAUAGAUUGGUGCCUUCGGGAACGCAGUGACAGGUGCUGCAUGGCUGUCGUCAGCUCGUGUCGUGAGAUGUUGGGUUAAGUCCCGUAACGAGCGCAACCCUUGUCCUUAGUUGCCAGCACAUUAUGGUGGGAACUCUAAGGAGACUGCCGGUGACAAACCGGAGGAAGGUGGGGACGACGUCAAGUCAUCAUGGCCCUUACGACCUGGGCUACACACGUGCUACAAUGGCCGGUACAGAGGGCAGCGAAAGGGCGACCUGGAGCCAAUCCCUUAAAGCCGGUCGUAGUCCGGAUUGGAGUCUGCAACUCGACUCCAUGAAGUUGGAAUCGCUAGUAACCGCGAAUCAGAAUGUCGCGGUGAAUACGUUCCCGGGCCUUGUACACACCGCCCGUCACACCAUGGGAGUGGGUUGCAAAAGAAGUGGCUAGUUUAACCUUCGGGGGAACGGUCACCACUUUGUGAUUCAUGACUGGGGUG
rnacentral:rRNA from 1 species